CGGUUUAGAUUGAUUUGGUUCACUUUCUGCCCGAAACAAGAGAUUCAAUUCAACGGUAGACGCCCUUUAGCGAACGAAACCCUAAUCAUCACUCCACGUGCACUUUUGUUCCUCUCUCGAAUUCGAUUCGGAAGCUCCUUGAUUCGUUCUCUGGAUUCGAUUCGUUCGUAAUCCGCCAUGGAUGCUCAACGAGCUCUGCUGGACGAACUCAUGGGCGCAGCUCGUAAUCUGACGGACGAAGAGAGAAGAGGAUUCAAGGAGAUUAAGUGGGAUGACAGAGAGGUCUGCGCUUUCUACAUGGUUCGAUUUUGUCCUCAUGACCUCUUCGUCAACACCAAAAGCGAUCUUGGUGCGUGCUCGAGAAUUCAUGAUCCCAAGCUCAAAGAGAGCUUUGAGAAUUCUCCAAGGCAUGAUUCCUAUGUUCCUAAGUUCGAGGCUGAGCUUGUUCAGUUUUGCGAGAAGCUGGUGAAUGAUCUUGACAGGAAGGUAAGGCGUGGACAAGAACGCCUUGCGCAAGAGCUUGAACCUCCUCCACCACCUUCUCUAUCUGGAGAGAAAGCUGAGCAGCUCGCUGUUCUGGAGGAGAAGAUUAAGAACCUUCUCGAACAAGUUGAAGCGCUUGGUGAAGAAGGCAAAGUCGAUGAAGCUGAAGCCCUGAUGAGAAAGGUGGAAGGGCUUAAUACUGAGAAGGCAAUGCUGAUACAGCGACCAAAUGACAAGGUACUAGCGAUGGUACAAGAGAAGAAGAUGGCACUGUGUGAUGUUUGUGGUUCAUUCCUUGUCUCUAAUGAUGCUGUAGAAAGGACUCAGUCUCAUGUCACCGGGAAGCAGCAUGUUGGCUAUGGCAUGGUCCGGGAUUUUCUUGCUGAACAAAAAGCUGCUAAAGAUAAAGGAAGGGAAGAAGAAAGACUAGUCAGAGGGAAAGAAGCAGAUGAUAAGAGGAAACCGAGGGAGAGGGAAAGCGAGAGUAGGAGGAGUGGUUCUAGGGAAAGAGAAAGACACCGUGAUCAUCGGGAUAGAGACAGAGAUGUGGACAGACACAGAGACCGUGGUAGAGAUCAUAGAAAGCCUUAUGACAGGAGAUCCAGGAGUGGGAGAGAUGGUCGUGACCGAAGCAGGUCACGUUCUCCUCGUGGAAGGUCUGGUCACAGAAGGGUGUCGAGAAGUCCUGUUCGCCAGAACUAGUUUGAGAGACAACGUGUUGUCUCUUAUGUCUUGGGGCCAGGAACUUUGCAAACUCAUGAGGUAGACAUUGUGACUUCCCCCUAAGUUACGUUGGCAUGUGUGUUUUCGUUUUUUUUAAACUUGUUAUAAUUUUAAGGAUGAAAAUUGUCUUUCUACCCGUUCAGACAGCUAUUGUAAGAGUUUAAGACCUUUACCCAACUUCCAUCGGUUAUUUGUUAAGAGGUCAAAAGCGUUGAGACUACAGAAUCUAGUGGGCUCGAAUGACAAAUGCUAUAUUGAGGUAACAAAUUUUGGUUAUUCUUCGAGUUCUUUGUCUGCACAUAGGUUUAUACGUACGCAGGUGGAACAAUGAGCGUUUUGGUGUUAGCUAUUACUUUUGCAUUCCGUGGAGUCUUUGCUUGCAACAAAAAAAGACUUUAUUACAAACGAGUCUCUGCAAAUCCAGGACACAAGACUGGAUGGAUCUGCGUGAUGAUUAAUUUAAAAUUUGGUAAAGUUAUACUGAAAGUUCCGAUGGUUAGAUCCUCGUUCAGCUAUAUUUGUAUCUCGCACAGUGGUCCAUUUUGCAAUAGAUACAUCUCUUCUGCUUUUUAAAA